UACGGAGGGGGCUAGCGUUGUUCGGAAUUACUGGGCGUAAAGCGCGCGUAGGCGGCUUUGUAAGUUAGAGGUGAAAUCCCCGGGCUUAACCUGGGAACUGCAUUUGUGACUGCACGGCUAGAGUGUGUCGAGAGGGGGGUAGAAUUCCACGUGUAGCAGUGAAAUGCGUAGAUAUGUGGAGGAAUACCGAUGGCGAAGGCCAGCCCCCUGGGAUAACACUGACGCUCAUGCACGAAAGCGUGGGG
rnacentral:rRNA from 1 species